AGCGAACGCUGGCGGCAGGCUUAACACAUGCAAGUCGAGCGGGCCCUUCGGGGUCAGCGGCAGACGGGUGAGUAACACGUGGGAACGUACCCUUUGGUUCGGAAUAACGCUGGGAAACUAGCGCUAAUACCGGAUACGCCCUUUUGGGGAAAGGCUUGCUGCCGAAGGAUCGGCCCGCGUCUGAUUAGCUGGUUGGUGGGGUAAUGGCCUACCAAGGCGACGAUCAGUAGCUGGUCUGAGAGGAUGAUCAGCCACACUGGGACUGAGACACGGCCCAGACUCCUACGGGAGGCAGCAGUGGGGAGUAUUGGACAAUGGGCGCAAGCCUGAUCCAGCCAUGCCGCGUGAGUGAUGAAGGCCUUAGGGUUGUAAAGCUCUUUUGUCCGGGACGAUAAUGACGGUACCGGAAGAAUAAGCCCCGGCUAACUUCGUG
rnacentral:rRNA from 1 species